rnacentral:lncRNA from 1 species
CACGCAGCUGGGCAUGCGGCCAGAGCCCAAGAAAAGCCUGGUUUGCCAGGGGCAGAUUACAGUCAACGGGAGCAGUAAGUGCCUCUGCCCUCUCCCUCACGGGUCCUUCUCUUUUCUAGAGGGGAGUCCAGCACGUGCCAGCCCCAGGAGGUCUCACUCCCUUGCCAGCCUCCCGACUCAAUUCCCAGGACUGGGGCACUUGGCUUCCCAGAGUUGGUGGCUGCCAAAGUGACUCCGUGCAGCGGGAAGAUCCGUGACUCAGCGCCCGUGAUGUCAGUCCCUUCAUAGUCAGGGCACUGUCAUCCACACAUGCACCCGCGGGGGUGGGGGGAGGACCAGGCGAGGUGGACCCCCAAUGCAGAGGGAGAAGAGGGGCGCUGGUACAAAGGACUCCCCAGGCGGGUACAUCACCCCGCUGGGGCGCGCCCUCUCGGGCAGUCUCCCCUUAGAGUAACCUGGGACGCGGUUGUGUAAAGGCUCCUGGGGGCACUGGGAAGGAAGCUCGAGAGUCAGGUUUGCAAGGACACAGUCCUGUACACAGACCGCAGGGUUCCCGCACAGCUUCACCGGGCAUUCCGGGGAGCGCUCCGGACCAAGGGAGCAAGCGCAGCAGGGGGCGCAAGAGCCACUACCCGCGACCACACAGCUAGGCCAAUCCUAACCCAGAUCAAAGAUCCUGGGACAGCUGGAACAGGCAUGGCCUAAUGGAACUCCCAAGUGGACAGGGCCAGGCAUGGACGGACAGAGCUUCUGAAACAGUCCUCAGACCCCGUGCAUCUGGAUCUUUCUGUAGGAACCACCCAUCAGCAGUGCCAGACAGAACCAAGCACAUGCACUGAUCCACCGCACGAUGGGAGCUGGUGUGGGUGAGCUUGUUUGCUUUAGCCAUGCCCACAGACAGGAACAGAAGAGCACAGUGGAGGCCACCAGCCCUCUCGCCUGCUAUUUCAAAAGGGGUUGCAGCAGGGCUGGAAAGCGGUUCCCACUGUGGUUGCCCCCUUCCUCUCUGUGGCACACACAGACCUGAAAAUAACCAGAGAGGGACUGUGAGCUGCCAGCCUAAAACAGGAAGGCUGCAGAAAGUCCUAGGCUCAGAUAGGAGAGUUUAAAAGAAUGUUGAAACCAAGAACGGGCAUCACAGAUCCCACCUGUCUCUGCACCAAAGCAGACCUCCCCCUCUCUAAUCUACUGGUGGGGAGCCUGUGUGCUCUGUAGUCAUGCAGAUCCCAGCUUUACCACUUGCUGGCUGUGUGACUUAAGCAAGCUAUUUAACUUCUCUGAACCCCUAUUUCCUGAUUUGUAAGAUAAGCGCAGCAAUAUACAAAGUUUUAGUGUUGUGGUUCACAUGAAAAAAUUUAAUCCUGGCCAGGCCGGACGUGGUGCCUCACACCUGUAAUUCCAGCACUUUGGGAGGCCAAGGUGGGCAGAUCAUGAGGUCAGGAGUUCGAGACCAGCCUGACCAACAUGGUAAAACCACAUCUCUACUAAAAAUACAAAAAUUAGCCGGGCAUGGUGGUGCGUACCGGUAGUCCCAGCUACUCAGGAGGCUGAGGCAGGAGAAUCACUUGAACCCAGGAGGCGGAGGUUGCAGUGAACCGAGAUGGCACCACUGCACUCCAGCCUGGGCAAGAAGAACGAAACUCCCUCUCAAAAAAAAGAAAAGAAAAAGAAAAAAGAAAGAGAAGAAAGCAUACCUGCACAAUUCAGCCUGACCUGCCCUCACCCAGACAACAGAAGGAACAAUGAAGACUUUAGUUGUCUGAGCCAGAACACUUCUCAGAUAACUGUGCUGCUUACAAAUUGCUUUACAUACACAAUCUCCUCUGAAAUUCUCAACCCUGAAUGCUGGGAGACAUUGCCCCCAAUUUUCAGAUGAGUAGACUGAGGCUAACAGAGGUAAAGUGGCUUGUUCAAAACUGCACUACUAGUAACUGGCAGCUCCAGGGUGAGGUCUGGCUCCUGGCCCAGGACUCUCACUGAGCAAGGGCUCGGUCGGCCCACCCAGGACCAAAGACACUGCAGACCAUGGCAGCAGGCACUUGGUGUUCUGUAGUCUGUGAGGGGAGAGCAGAGAGCAGAACCUGGUGUGUGGGACACCCUCUCCUUCACCGGUGUUCCUGCAGGGACCCUCCGUCUCCUGUAAAGGGGGAAGCCCUAGGCUGACUCCCAGCAAGCAAGUCCUCUCUCACCUUUCACCUGAAGCGAUGAAGCAUCUUAAAGUUUGCCUAAAGCAGAAGUCUACAGGAGACCCACAGAAUAAAUAUGUAAGGUUAUUUUGAA